GCACGAUUUACUAGACAAAGAUGCAUUCAAAUUUUCUUACCUACCCAAGGCCCCACAGAAACAUAUUGUUAUAAUCCAGUGUUCCAAAUCCUGAGGAUCUACGCAUGCUUUUCUGGUUAGUUAAUAUUGCUUUAGCUGUUUUGACAAAGCCAUCAGGUAAAACAGGCACUUCAUUUUGAGGAAGUGCUUUUUACAACUCUUUACAGUUCUAGCUAUAUGAUGCAGCAUACUGUAACCUCUGAGGACCUUUGAUGAGUUUAGAGAACACCUACAACAGUCGCUGAACUUCAUGUAAUAAAUAACAUGACAGUGAGAAUUCACACUGGAUACAUCAAAUGAUAUUUAGAUGGAGUCUUCCAUAUAAAGUGUAUUUCUUCUGACAAAGGACAUCUAGAAGUGCACAUUGGAAUUUUUUUUUGCUGUUUUAUGAACAGGUGAGUUAUGAAUUCCCUCACAGAAGCCUACUAGAGUGAGUCAAUAAUUAAUCUGCACAGUCACACAGCUAUUUCUGUGCUAAUACAGAUGUAAUAUAGAGCUGCACGGCAUGUUCAGCGAUGAAGAGUACAUCUCAUACUUGACAUCAGUAUAGUCCAGCAAGGCUGUGUCUCACCUCCAAGAAAGUUUUUUGAAGGAAUGAAGAAGGGAACUGAAUUUAAUAAAUUUAGGGAAGAGGACAGUUAAUGACUCUGGCACCCCAUUUUGGUAAUUAAUUUCCCUGUAUGAUCAAGUUCCCUCUCAUUUAAAUUAUUGGUUUCACUGUUCUGUGGUAUAUUGCUCAGUGUUGAAUUUGCUGAAUUUAUAAGCUCAAAAGUCAGGCAUAUAUGUAUGUGAUACAAACUGCAGAUCUGGGCCUGGAUGAGUUUCUGCGGUUGCAGUGUAGGACAAAAUCAGAAAGUCUCACCAGACAAGACUCCUCAUCCUGUGACAAGCAGCUUCUUCCAAUCAAAGCAGCUUGUGAACUAAUGGAAAAUGCAAAAUGGCUGCUCUGACAGCCUACUUUACCAUGUCCUGACACUACCAGCAUCACAGCUUUUGAAAGCUCACUGCAAUACUUUGACACAAAUCACAGUAUUCCAUUCAGCACAUUAAAUCUUAAGGUCAUUAGCAAUAUCUACUUUUAGAGACCUUUUGUUGUGUUCCAGUGCCAAACCUGCUAAAUAACACAACGACAUUGUGUUAGCAACACCCUGAGCCACUUGAUGUACAGGCAAGAGAGAUAACCCAGCUGGUGUUUCUUGCUUUCCAAAGCUAUAACCCUAAUACAAUCCAGUGGGAAAAAGUAAAACAGAUUUUUUACUAGUGUUGGACUUAUCCACAAACAAAAUGCCAUGAAGCUGAGGCCAAGGAGAUGAGGUCCAUCCAAGAGAAAAAAAAGAAAAAAAAAAAGCCUGCAAUAUGCAAAGGAAAUCCUGAAAAUAAUUUCUUCUUUUGUUAGUAAACUACCCGUCAUGGCUGCUAGUCUUGCUGCACCAUCUGUUAGCUGCACUAGUGACCUCGCAAUGCAUGUGAUGGUUAUGUAAAGCAAGCAAUAGAAACAUUAGUAAAGUCAGCUAUUUCCAAGGUAAUUUUUACUAAUAUACAGAAAGCAAGUAUACAGAAAUAUAUCUCCCUUCCCCCUAGAGGCUUUCCAUGUUCUGCAGUACCUAACUUUGAAUCAACAGCUUUAAAUGUUGUGUAAUAUUUUGUUACCUUUUAUUUUUCUCGGUUGUUUUCUAUUUUAUUGCAUCUCUUGGUUCUAGCCAGGACAGAAAAGAAAUUGCUGUGAUAUCCUGAGAAAGGCUGUUAUUGUGGUAUUUUUAUGUCAACUAAAAGAAUCAGAAAUGUAAUAAAAAGGCAGGUCUUACCAGUAUUUUCAGUGGUGGUGGGGAGUAUUGCUAUAUUUUCAAGUGUUCAUACAUCUCAUUCAUGUUCACACAACAUUCAAACCUCAACCACAGGAGAAACUUUGGGCACUAAAAAAUAACAGCAACAACAACAAACAGCAGUAAUCAAAAUAAUGACAUGUCUUAUAGGUGGAGUCCAUGUGGUCAUGUCAGGCAUGUUCCUGAUAAGUACACAGACUGUGGAUCACGCACCACAUUGUUGGCAAGUGAGGAGGAUGGUGAGGAGGACUCUCGCUUGGUGAGAUCAUAACAGGGAAAUGCUGCACAAUGGAAACAUCUUUUCAUAAUGCCCUGAUUUACUUGACCUCAGCUCUGUAAUAACAAAGACACUCAACCUCAUCCAACCAAUAGCAGACUUCUAAGCAAUGCGGCUGUACACAAAGCUAAACAAAACAAGGUGUGUUGCCACUGCAUGUGAAGUCUAUAUGUACUGUGAAAGAUGUGGUAGUCAUCAGCUUCUUUCCUCUUUGCCAUAGAAACAGCAGUUAACUAUGCCUUUGCCACUGGAUGUUUUUUAUUUCUCUCUGUGCAGUUGCUCCACAGUCCUCGGUGCCCCGGUUUGUACACAGUUUACAUGUCUGAACAUAAUUAUCCUCAUAAUUCCUUCCUUUUGUAGUUAUGUGCUUCAUUUAGAAUGAUAGAAAUGAAGGCACAAAAGAUGAAAGUGAUUUGCUUAAGGUCAUUUAGGAGGUCUGGCAGAACCAGUAAUAAGAAAAAAUUCCUGUGCUCCAAAUCUCCAAUCCGUAUGUUAAACAUAAAACCUUAAAGCUCUUGUUCCUGUUCUUUUGUUUAUCAAUUAACAAAUGCAGUACAACUGGGAUAUUAUAAACUAGUUACACAUUUACGGAUUACCUAAUUAUGAAAGUAACAGCUCACCAUGUUACAUCUCUAACUUAAAGCAAUAGAAAGGACAAUCCAUGUCACAUUUGAAAGUAAAGUCUUGGUUUCCCUUAUUUCCUCCUUCAUGACACUGCAAACUUUCUUUUUUUUUUUUUUAAACAAAUCUGUAAUCCAUAUAGACAAAAUUUCCAAAAAAGUAUAGGUGGAAAUUAAACCCCCAUCAGUGCAUGUGAAGAUCUUCCAAAUGCCUUUGUAAGGUUUGAGAUAAUGAAGGUGUCACUGUAGAUUUACAAGAAGAUAAUAUUUUUGUGAUGAACUUUAUCUUAAAAUAACUGUAAACAUAAUUAUCCAGCAUAAAUGAGCCACCAGGGAAUAUAUUUUCUUGAGAGACACUGCCCCUAGUUCUAGCACAAAAGCAUCUUCAGCCACUACAGUGUACUGGAAAAGGAAUCAAGAAUGUCUUUCUCAUCUGUGCCUGCCUUAAAAACAUUAGUGUUCUGUGCAAAUAAUGUCUAUGAAUGCCUAAGGUUUAUGUAUAAAGUGAACAUUCUAUUUUCUUCCUUUUUUUUUUUUUUUUUAAUUUAUCUUCCUUCUGAUGCCCAGCAGAGCAAUCAACCAAAGUAGAAUGCCCGAGAGCUUCCAAUGUAGCACUAUACAGGGGAAAACUUCAUAAUUUCUUUAGGGAAAAGAAUAAUUUAGGAAAGAUUGGAAGAAAGUAAGUUAGAUUAAAGCUAGAUCUAGUUAUUAAGACACUUCCCCUGAAAUAAAUAAUACACAUUGAAAAACAGGGUAUGAACCUAGACCACUGUACUAACACGUUCAGCUGCUCUUAGUCUUGCUGAGGACGGACAAACAUCUCCAUGGGCUGGGAGAGGAGAAACUCAUUUGAACUGCACCCCUUUCAAACAAGACCUGUGUACAGCCUGCGUGCUGCAAAGUUUCAUAUCUAUCGCCUCGCCUUGUAUCUCAUUUCUUUCCUGGAAAGUAAAUGACUGAAUGGAAACUAAACCUUCUCCUCAGCCUUGGAGACAAGCCCUCCAAGUGUCCCUUUCUGAUGUCCAGAACCUCACCAGUGUUUAGUAGGGAGUAGUUAAUAAUAUAUAAGAGAAGAGCUGGUGCUUGUUAGUUUCCUUGACUCACACUGAGACAGGCAUAUGAGAACAAGGGUGGAUGGAAGUAGAAAAGCCUUCUCUGACACACAUUGGAUGAGAACAAGGGUGGAUGGAAGUAGAAAAGCCUUCUCUGACACACAUUGGAUGAUCACUCCAUUCAUCAUCUCAUCAGGUCUCUGUACAAUAUGAAGAUAUAAACAGUCUUCCUUUGUUUAACCUUUGGUUUCUUCAGGGCAGUGACAAAUAGAGUGCACCUCAAGGGCUGUUCUUCAGUGAUGUCUCUGGAUGCUUCUGCGUUUACUACUCUGAAGACCACAGUAUGUCGGAAAAUGCAGUUGUCUUGAAUGCUACACUGGAUCCAAUAGUGAUUCUUCUGUGUAGCACCGCUCAUGACAAUCAAGCAGCAAUCACCCAUCGGUUUGGAUCAGUUGUUUGGAUAUUAGGAAAAAAUUAUUCAUAGAAAAGAUCAUCAGGAAUUGGAAGAGGCUGCCCAGGGCAGUGGUGGAGUCACCAUCCCUGGAGCUGUUUAAAAGACGUUUAGAUGAGGUUUAGACAUGGUUUAGUGCUAGAGUUAGGUUAUGGCUGGACUCAAUCGUAAGGGUCUCUUCCAACUGAAAUGAUUCUAUGAUUCUAUGAUCUUGAGAGGAAAGCAGAGUUUCCAAGAGAAUAAGCUAAGGUAAAUUAACAAGCAUGUUGUUUGAAUUUUUACAGAGUGGGUAGAAGGAUGUUAUUAAUAAGGUUGGGGGAAAGUUCUCUGGGUUGCAGAGUUUCACAUUUCAUCGUGGCUUUCUUAAACAAAGUUGACCUCCUUCUUAGUUCAGAAGUGGUGAAAUGAACUGGUGCUCCAAGGAAACCAGGGUCAUUGAACCAUCUAAAGGAUCCAUACAGGCUUGGCAUGCUGUUUUGCAGUGGAAUUUAAAUGAAAAAAGUGUUUCAGUUACAGUCUGUAAAAAGUGACCACACUGAAGCACCUAUAAUGAGAAAAGCUGUGCAAUGGACUGGGCUUCAGUCUGGUUUAGGAAGUGAGGGUUUUUUGAGACAAGUUUCUGCACUGAAAGCUUGAGCAUCUUGUUACCUUAACUUUCACUCUGACACUACCUUUCAAAAAUAAUAACCAGAUUUUUUUAAAUGUUGAACUUUUCUGGCAACUGGUUUUUGUCCUAGCAGAGAAGGUCAUAGUUCACCUUCUGGCUUCUUCUAACUUUCAGAUACGUGGGCCAAUAAAAAUCAGUCAAUGUCUUACAAGUAGUGUAGUCUUUCAACACAAACCUGAUGUUACCUCUCAUCUUAUUUUAGCAAGUUUUUUCCCUUCUAUGUUGUAUAGUAAAAUCUGAGACUGUGAGGUCAGAAAAGCUCAAAAGGUGACAAAAAUCCUUCUGUGGUGGCUUCUUAUCAGAUCCAUCUUGUUCAGUUAGCCUUGAAUUGGUUGCUUUCCAGCUCGAUAGUAUCACAGAUGGCUGGGUACCAUUCUCAGCAGGGGUGAAAUGAAGAAAGUGAACAAAAUCAGAUUGGCUCUGCUAUUAUUAAAGGCAGAUACCAAGGAAGAUUAAGCUUAAAGCUGUUGUGUUCAUCAGAGGUUAGACUUCUGUAUUUUAAAUUGUGUUAGGUAGCACUUUACAAGAUAUAUUGCUGACUCUAAUGGGAUUUUGGAAAUAUCUGGUGUCCUGUGUUUGGCUGAGAGAGAGUUAAUUUUCUUUAUAGUAGAUGGUAUAGCUCUGUGGCUUGGAUUUAGAAUGAGAACAAUGUUGAUAACACACUGAUGUUUUGGUUGUUGCCAAGUAGUCAAGGAUUUUUCAGCUUCUCACACCCUUCUCACACAAGAAGCUGGGAGGGGGCACAGCCAGGACAGCUGACCCAAACUGGACAAAAGGAUGUUCCAUAGCAAAUGAUGUCAUGCUCAGUACAUACUUUUUGGGAAGAAAGAGGAAGUGGGGGACAUUCAAAGCGGUGGUGUUUAUCUUCCCCAUAACAGUUACGUGUGAUGGAGCCCUGAUUUCCUGGAGAUGGAUGAACACCUCCCUGCUGAUGGGAAGCAGUGAAUGAAUUCCUUGCUUUGUUUUGCUUGUGUGCAUGGCUUUUCUUUAUGUAUUAAACUUAUUUUAUCUCAA